rnacentral:rRNA from 1 species
GACAGAGGAUGCAAGCGUUAUCCGGAAUGAUUGGCGUAAAGCGUCUGUAGGUGGCUUUUAAGUCCGCCGUCAAUCCCAGGCGUCAACCCUGGACAGGCGGUGAAACUACCAGCUGGAGUACGGUAGGGCAGAGGAAUUUCCGGUGGAGCGGUGAAAUGCGUAGAGAUCGGAAAGAACACCAACGGCGAAAGCACUCUCGCUGGCCG